rnacentral:lncRNA from 1 species
CUUCUCUUUCCUGCUGCCAUGUGAAGAAGGAUGUAUUUGCUUCUCCUUCUGCCAUGAUCACAGGAACCGAGGCUGGGUCAUCGGCUCCAGAAUUUACCAGGCUGUGCAUUGUAGAACCUCCUCAUGGACGGGCUCUGUGUGCAGGCUUUACUCUGGCCAAUGGCAGCUAGGAUUUAGAACCUGGACCUGGACGCCUCACUGCUUCCUGCUUCCUUAGUGCCUUGUGGCCUGGAGUCAGAAUAAUCUAGCUCAAACUUGGGAGUCAAAUGCUCCAGGGUCUUGAACUGGUCAGAGCUCUCAAUGCCGCAAAGACACUUUCAGAAGAGGAACGAAGGCCUGGAAGGAAAAGCAUCAGGGGAACGACGCUUACGUCUCUCCUCCUCCCUCCGGUCUCCCACCAGUGCUCCCAUUGGCUGAAGCCAACCAGAAGCCACAGGACUCUAUCACCCAGGCUGGAGUGCAGCAGCGCGAUCUCGGCUCACUGCAACGUCCGCCUCCUGGGUUCAAGUGAUUCUCCUGCCUCAGCCUCCUGAGUAGCUAGGAUUACAGGAAUCCUGAGGUCAGCAUCAUCCCAAUUUCACAGAGUAUGACAUGACGUCUCAGAGAGGGUAAGCAGCUUGCCAAACAUUCCACAGCCAGGAAGCUGUAGGACCAGCCUGUGCUCCUAAGGACUGGCUCCUGGCUGCUAUAUAUAGAACUAAGCCUGGUGGAGGUGUCAGAAAUAGAGGUUCACUUCUGUCAUCACCGACCUCCCUCCACACCUUUGCAAAGGAGGAAACUGAGAGGCAGGGAUUUCCGCAGAGCAAGGAACCCAAAUUGCUGCCUCCUGUGAUUUAUACACUGCACCCCAAGCUGUAGGGGUAACCCAAGGACAAAGCUGUAACCCAAGCGGGAACAUAUGCCCCAUCUGGGGCCACCAAAAUCUUACCAGCUUCCUCAGCUGGUGGAUCGGUUAAUUCACGGCCACAGCCCCCUGGAGCUGGGGGAAAGGAAAACCAGGGCGUCUCCGCAAACCAGCCCAGAGAGAGGUCUGCGGAAGGGCCCGGAAGCCUGCAGGCCCCUCUGCACCCCCAACCCCACCGCCAUCCUGGACCUCCAAGAUGACCUGGUCCAACAGAGUCCUGCAUGGAAAAGACUGGAACCCAGGGAGGAGCAGAGCCCCGCCCAAGGUCACCGGCCGAGCCUGAAUAGAACCCGGUUCUCCAGGAGCCCUGUCUUUAGCUGUCUUGUCCAAAUAAAAUUUUUCAGGCCAU